ACAGCGGCGGACGGGUGAGUAACGCGUAGGAAUCUACCCGGUAGUGGGGGACAACAUGGUGAAAACCAUGCUAAUACCGCAUACGCCCUAUGGGGGAAAGCGGGGGACCUUCGGGCCUCGCGCUAUCGGAUGAGCCUGCGUAAGAUUAGCUAGUUGGUGGGGUAAAGGCCCACCAAGGCGACGAUCUUUAGCUGGUCUGAGAGGAUGAUCAGCCACACUGGGACUGAGACACGGCCCAG
rnacentral:rRNA from 1 species